rnacentral:rRNA from 1 species
UGGGGAAUAUUGCACAAUGGGCGAGAGCCUGAUGCAGCAACGCCGCGUGAGUGAUGAAGGUCUUCGGAUUGUAAAGCUCUGUCUUUUGGGACGAUAAUGACGGUACCAAAGGAGGAAGCCACGGCUAACUACGUGCCAGCAGCCGCGGUAAUACGUAGGUGGCGAGCGUUGUCCGGAUUUACUGGGCGUAAAGGGUGCGUAGGCGGAUGUUUAAGUGAGAUGUGAAAUACCCGGGCUUAACUUGGGUGCUGCAUUUCAAACUGGAUAUCUAGAGUGCAGGAGAGGAGAAUGGAAUUCCUAGUGUAGCGGUGAAAUGCGUAGAGAUUAGGAAGAACACCAGUGGCGAAGGCGAUUCUCUGGACUGUAACUGACGCUGAGGCACGAAAGCGUGGGUAGCAAACAGGAUUAGAUACCCUGGUAGUCCACGCCGUAAACGAUGAGUACUAGGUGUAGGAGGUAUCGACCCCUUCUGUGCCGCAGUAAACACAUUAAGUACUCCGCCUGGGAAGUACGAUCGCAAGAUUAAAAC